rnacentral:tRNA from 1 species
GAGGUUGUAGCUCAGUCGGUAGAGCAACGGACUUUUAAUCCGUAGGUCCUGGGUUCGAGCCCCAGCAACCUCAC